UACGAAGGGGGCUAGCGUUGUUCGGAAUUACUGGGCGUAAAGCGCACGUAGGCGGAUUGUUAAGUCGGGGGUGAAAGCCCGAGGCUCAACCUCGGAACUGCCUUCGAUACUGCGGGUCUCGAGUCCGGGAGAGGUGAGUGGAAUUCCUAGUGUAGAGGUGAAAUUCGUAGAUAUUAGGAAGAACACCAGUGGCGAAAGGCGGCUCACUGGCCCGGUACUGACGCUGAGGCGCGAAAGCGUGGGGAGCAAACAGG
rnacentral:rRNA from 1 species